GUUUUAGGUCAGACUUUUUACAACUAAAGAAAAUGCUUCACAUGUUUGUUUUGUUCAGUUUGUGUUGGUGGCAUUUGAUUGGUGUGUUUGGUGAAUCAGUUUCAGUGAUGGAGGGAGAUUCUGUAACUUUGAAAACUAGUGUUACUGAAAUACAACAAGCUGACGACAUAGUGUGGAAAUUUGGAUCAAACAAAUCUGUAAUAGCUAAAAUU